UAUUCACGAGGACCGGCAUUUCCCUAUCCUACCUGGUGUCAACUUACCUGCGGAUGGAGCACUUACAAGUGGAUGCCCGGCUGUGGAUUUCCCGGGCUGAAAGCUUCGUGUCGGGGGUGGCGGCCGGGAGACGCGGGAAAAAUGUGAUGAGGAGCGACGUGAACGGAAAAGAAGAAGAAGAAGAAGAACAAACGAACCAAAAGUCAAUGCACGGAUGGAUGGAUGUAGGGGGGAGAAGAGGAAAAGAAAAGUGCACUCUCUCUCUAUCGUCUAUCUAAAGAGAAACUCACAGGGGAGGAUAUGGCAGCAGCAGACCCUGAUGAAUUCACGAUCGCUAAUUAAAACUAACAAGCACACACACACACAUGUGUGUGUGUACUCGGGCUGCCAAUUAGCAAAAGCACCGUCGUAUUAGGUUUCACUGUAAAAAUAACAUUCGCCAACUAAUGACGGCAGAAGAAAGAAAGCAGGUAACGUACAAUAUGUUCUCUAAUGGCUUCCAAGGAAAUUUAAUUAAACCGCUGCUGUCGUCUCUCUUUUGUUUUUCUUCUUUUUUCGUGUCUGUGAGAAAUAGCCGUCCCAAAUGGUUGUGAGAUCAUCAUCACAAACCUUUUUUUUCCUUUCCAUUUGUCAUUGAGGAGAAGUAAAAGAAGCUGUAACUACCUGGAAGAAGUAAAACAAGAAGAAUAUUUCCCACACGGUCCGGUAGAGUCCGGAACGAUCCUGUGAGGCUGAUUGUUUUGUCAAGAGUCACUGAACUGUUUUUCACCAGAAGCGGGCACACACGGAGAGCGUCGGACACACAAAAGUCGAGAGAAACGUCAACAUUUUCCAUUUCUUCUAUUUCUUCUCCUCGGCCGGCAGAACAACAAGAAAGAGAAGAGAAGAGAAAAAGUGGUUUGACACGAUUAGACGCAGUCGCAGCUGUGUGGAAUCUAACGACGCGCGGCCUGUGACGUUCGUGAGAAGACGACCCGCUUCUUCUUCCAUCCAUCCGCUCUGCUUUUUCUUCUUUCUUUGCAAUGUACAUAUAAAAAAAAGAGAAUAAGAGAAACGGGUUGGAUGUAUAAUCUAGCAACCAGGAGGGGGAAGACGGGAAAAAUGACUGAAUUUAUCCGUUUUUCUUUGAUGUGUAUAAUCACGUAGUUACACGGUAUAUACAGUCACUCGGCCCGCCCGUCUCUCUUGCCUCUGUGUGUGUUCUUUCUCUCCUUUUUCUUCUUUCUGACUUGUCGUUGAUUACAUUAGAGAGAUAUAUCAUUGCGAGCGCGUAGACAAAUGCACACAGCUCUUAUUAUUAUCAAAAGUCCCUCUCCUUUUAUUUUUCUAUUUGGCCAAACAAACCAGCUGCUGCAUCAAGGACAAAUAGACUGGCAGCUAUAUAAUACAAGUUAUAUCACUUUUUCAAAUCCAUCUAGGUGGGCCAUCUUGUUGUGGCGGCUCUCAAAGGAAUUUCUCUGACGGUUUCCUGCUGCAAAUUUCUUUUUUUUACUUUUACCUUGACAGUGGUUGUA